AUGGGAAGAGGAGGAAGCAAAUAUUUACCAACACCUACUCUUCAAGCAGCGAGCGCCUAUAAAUUUCUCCACCUGAAGCUUUGUGACCUGACCCUGAUAGUUUGCCCAUAUUUUAACUGGUUUGACUCAGACAUCCGUCGUCCCCUUAAGCUCAUCCGUGUCUGCACAGUGAACCUCGUGUCUACAAUGGCCAUGUGGCCGUCCUCUUAACAUAUCCAGAUGCACUGGACUCCUCUGGUGGAGGCUGCCCCAGUCUCUGAAGUCUGGACUUAUCUGCCUGUUACUGCUGCUCUCAGCCCUAGAGAGAGACUGAAAUGAAAGCAUCUUCUUACUGUCUUCUGUGACCUAACCUAAGUCUCCCCAUCUUCAGACUGUCAAAUCCUUUAUCAAGGAGGACUGGGGGAGCACUGAUGGCUGGUAUCCACUUCUGGUUCCAAUAGAGGGUGUGGGGUUUGUUUCAUCAGCAUGACAGGAAGAUUUGCUGGUUCCCCGAGCUCAACACCCUCUGGUGAAGUUUCUGCUUCAUUAGAUGCAACGGGCCAAAUUGGCUUAUCCCCAAAGAAGCCAUGGGAAAGUUUGUUGAUCUGAGCUAUACUACUUCCAUUAGGCAUCAUUGUGGGGGGGGGGGGGGGGGGGGGGGGGGGGGGGGGCUCAAGCAGCAUAGACCAACAGUGAUCUUCAGUGGUACUGCCAGGCUUGGAGUCUAGCCUUCCAUCCUGAGGGCAAUGGGAAGGGAUACAGCCAUGAAACUCACACUCGCCCUGGUCUCUAGCACAGCAGGUGUGAACUGCCCUGGAACAAGUUUUGAUGCCCUUGGAAGCAUCAGGAUAGUGCCUGUACAUUAAAACUAAAUGAACAUCACCCAUCUGAAGACGGUUUGCAACAAAAAUCAUUUUUAUAGCCAUCAAGAGUUUGCCCCGGUGCUACCCUCCCACAUCCCCUGCCCCAACGCUCCAUUUGAAGUCUGCCCACCUGGAAUUAUUAGUUAAGGGCACUGUAGCAAGGGAAAGGUGGAUGGUGUAAGCAGAUCCUGCUAUCGGUGUUCAAAACCCCGUGCUAGCCCCAUGAUACACUCAGCACAAGUUCCUUAAUCAUGGCUGAGUGAAGGUUACCAAGCCUGAAUUAUUAGUUAACAGCGUCUCUGCCCUGUAAUGAUUUCUCAGAGUAAAUGGAACGUGAACACGGCUCCUGAAUCUCUGAAGCUAUAGUGUGUGUGUGUGUGUGUGUGUGUGUGUGUGUGUGUGUGUGUGUGUGUGUGUUAUUUUGACUUUCUCUCCUAUGGUGGAAACUAAUAAAAAAACAGGUUGCCUUGACCCCA
rnacentral:lncRNA from 1 species